rnacentral:rRNA from 1 species
AUACGAAGGGUGCAAGCGUUGUUCGGAUUUACUGGGCGUAAAGCGUCCGUAGGUGGUUUGUUAAGUCAGGGGUGAAAUCCCGGGGCCUAACCCCGGAACUGCCUUUGAUACUGGCAGGCUGGAGCGCGAUAGAGGAAGAUGGAAUAUCUGGUGUAGGGGUGAAAUCCGUAGAUAUCAGAUAGAACACCAAUGGCGAAGGCAGUCGUCUGGAUCGUUGCUGACACUGAGGGACGAAAGCGUGGGUAGCAAACAGAAUUAGAUACUCUGGUAGUCCACGCCCUAAACGAUGCAUGCUUGUUGUUGGUUUCCUUCGGGGAAUCAGUGACGAAGCUAACGCGUUAAGCAUGCCGCCUGGGGACUACGAUCGCAAGAUUAAAACUUAAAGGAAUUGGCGGGG